rnacentral:lncRNA from 1 species
GGCGGGUUUAAUUAAAUGAAUGGGUGGGUCGUCUGGUCCAAUCAUAACAUGCCACGUGUUACUAAAAAUUCUGGAAAGGUGUUUUAACAGCUGAGGGAUAUAUAUGGCCCUAAUGUAUAACGGUGGGGACAUAUUUGAAAAAAAACUCAAACGGAGGAUAAAUAUGGCCUAUUUGUACAAGGAUAUAUUUGACCCUUAACCGUAUUGAAAAUUAAAUCUCAACACAUGGUGGCACUAUAUAUA